UGACACAGCAGCUAUAAUAGUAAUUAAGCACAAGAUGUUACUCUAAUUCAUCCUACCGCAGUACUUUUCACCUGACUUUGCUUUAAGGUGAUAGUGAACUGAUCUUCAGUCCAUUUGCUGGCACGUCCGCGACGUUUGUAAUCUGAAACUUUUUGAGUAUUCUUUUGAAGUUCCUUCAUGGCCCCUUUCAGCAAAACUGUUUCUAACAUUGGUUUGGUUGCUUUGGUCUGCUCCAUCUCCAUAAGCAUGCAACGGAAAAGCAUAACAAGUAUAAGAGAUAUAAGAGAAGAAGAAGACUGGAGUACCAAUUCACCAUUUUGAAGGCUGGUUUCAUUAACAAUCUGGAAAAAGUGAAUGGGGCCUGGUGGAGAUGACAUUGCUUGAUGAAGCAGCUGGUUCUUAACUCUUGAGUGCCUUAAGGAUAAUGUGAUUAUGAUCAAAGUGCAAAACCAAUGCGUUAUAAAUAUGGAAACUUUGGAAGUUCUUAAUUACGGCGAAGUAAUUGCGGUGGUUUGGACAUGUGAGAAGAAGACCGAUAGAACAUCUAGUCAAGAGGAUGGAUGAGAUGAAAGAUGGACAAAGGGCGAAAAGUAGAAGAAGACUUAAGAAGACCACCCAGGAGGUGGUCAAACGAGAUCUACAUGUAAACGGUCUCUCUGUAGACAUGAUACAUGACAGAGCACAAUGGCGUCGUUUGAUUCAUGUAGCCGACCCCACUUAGUGGAAUAAGGCUUUGUUGUUGUUGUUGUUGUAAACCGAAUCAUGUUUAAAUUUUUUUGAC